rnacentral:rRNA from 1 species
CCUACGGGAGGCAGCAGUGAGGAAUAUUGGUCAAUGGCCGCAGGGCUGAACCAGCCAAGUCGCGUGAGGGACGACGGUCCUAUGGAUUGUAAACCUCUUUUGUCAGGGAGCAAAGGGCGCCACGUGUGGCGCUUUGCGAGUACCUGAAGAAAAAGCAUCGGCUAACUCCGUGCCAGCAGCCGCGGUAAUACGGAGGAUGCGAGCGUUAUCCGGAUUUAUUGGGUUUAAAGGGUGCGCAGGCGGAAGGUCAAGUCAGCGGUAAAAUUUCGGGGCUCAACCCCGUCGUGCCGUUGAAACUGGCGUUCUUGAGUGAGCGAGAAGUAUGCGGAAUGCGUGGUGUAGCGGUGAAAUGCAUAGAUAUCACGCAGAACUCCGAUUGCGAAGGCAGCAUACCGGCGCUCAACUGACGCUCAUGCACGAAAGCGUGGGUAUCGAACAGGAUUAGAUACCCGAGUAGUC